rnacentral:rRNA from 2 species
GCGUGAGUGAAGAAGGGUUUCGGCUCGUAAAACUCUGUUGUUAAAGAAGAACAUAUCUGAGAGUAACUGUUCAGGUAUUGACGGUAUUUAACCAGAAAGCCACGGCUAACUACGUGCCAGCAGCCGCGGUAAUACGUAGGUGGCAAGCGUUGUCCGGAUUUAUUGGGCGUAAAGCGAGCGCAGGCGGUUUUUUAAGUCUGAUGUGAAAGCCUUCGGCUCAACCGAAGAAGUGCAUCGGAAACUGGGAAACUUGAGUGCAGAAGAGGACAGUGGAACUCCAUGUGUAGCGGUGAAAUGCGUAGAUAUAUGGAAGAACACCAGUGGCGAAGGCGGCUGUCUGGUCUGU